rnacentral:rRNA from 2 species
CCCGGGCCUUGUACACACCGCCCGUCACACCAUGGGAGUGGGUUGCAAAAGAAGUAGGUAGCUUAACCUUCGGGAGGGCGCUUACCACUUUGUGAUUCAUGACUGGGGUGAAGUCGUAACAAGGUAACCGUAGGGGAACCUGCGGUUGGAUCACCUCCUUACCUUAAAGAA